CUCUAAAAAGAGAGUGACGGGCAAUAUGUACACAAAUAAAAUUUUAUUCAAAUCAACUUAAUCUGUUAAUUUUACUUUUAAAUUUUACUAAAUUAUUAAAUUAAAUUAAUUAAUUUUGUUAAAAAUAAAUUUAUAUAAUUUAUUUCAAUCUUUUAUAUAAGCUGCACCUUUACCUAAAAUUUUACUUUUUUAAGAUUACUAAAA
rnacentral:rRNA from 1 species